rnacentral:rRNA from 1 species
CCCUUAGAUGUUCUGGGCCGCACGCGUGCUACACUGAGUGGAUCAGCGGGUCAGGUUGCGCGAAAGCGUUUCCUAAUCUUUAAAUCCGCUCGUGAUGGGGAUUGACGGUUGCAAUUUUCUGUCAUGAACGAGGAAUACCUUGUAAGCGCGGGUCAUCAUCCCGCGCUGAAUACGUCCCUGCCCUUUGUACACACCGCCCGUCGCACCUACCGAUUGAAUGGUCCGGUGAAGCCUCGGGAUUGUGGCGAGUUCCCUUUAUUGGGAGUUUGUCGCGAGAACUUGUCUAAACCUUAUCAUUUAGAGGAAGGUGAAGUCGUAACA